rnacentral:rRNA from 1 species
AUCGAUGAAGAACGCAGCGAAAUGCGAUAAGUAAUGUGAAUUGCAGAAUUCAGUGAAUCAUCGAAUCUUUGAACGCACAUUGCGCCCCCUGGUAUUCCGGGGGGCACACCUGUUCGAGCGCCAUUACAAACCUCAAGCCUUGCUUGGUGAUGGGCCCCGCCCGUGCGGCGGGCCCGAAACUCGUGGGCGCCCCAGGCCGGAUUCCAAGCGUAGCAAAACCCUCGCUUGUGUGACCGGUCGGAGGCCGCCCCGGACCCCUAAUUUUAUCAAUGGUUGGCCUCGGAUCAGGUGGGGAUACCCGCUGAACUUAAGCAUAUCAAUAAGCGGAGGAAAAGAAACCAACAGGGAUUGCCUCAGUAACGGCGAGUGAAGCGGCAACAGCUCAAAUUUGAAAUCUGGCUCCUUCGGGGUCCGAGUUGUAAUUUGUAGAGGGUGCUUCGAGUGAAGCCCCGGCCCAAGUCCCUUGGAACAGGACGUCAGAGAGGGUGAGAACCCCGUGUCCGGCCGGCGGCGCUCCUCGUGUGAAGCCCCUUCGACGAGUCGAGUUGUUUGGGAAUGCAGCUCUAAAUUGGUGGUAAAUUCCAUCUAAAGCUAAAUACCGGCCAGAGACCGAUAGCGCACAAGUAGAGUGAUCGAAAGAUGAAAAGCACUUUGAAAAGAGAGUUAAAAAGUACGUGAAAUUGUUGAAAGGGAAGCGCUUGCGGCCAGACUUGCCCGCGGAGGUUCAGCCCGUCUUCUGGCGGGUGCAUUCCUCCGCGGUCAGGCCAGCAUCGGUUUGGGCGGUCGGAUAAAGGCCUUGGGAACGUAGCCCCCUCCGGGGGGUGUUAUAGCCCUCGGUGCAAUGCGGCCAGCCCGGACCGAGGAUCGCGCUCUGCUAGGAUGCUGGCGUAAUGGCCGUAAGCGGCCCGUCUUGAAACACGG